GGCCGCUUCGGUGGCUUAGUGGUUAGAGCGACAGCCCCGGAUGCGGGAGGUCGUGGAUUCGAUCCCCGGUUGAGUCA